rnacentral:rRNA from 1 species
AACUUUCAACAAUGGAUCUCUUGGUUCCGGCAUCGAUGAAGAAC